AUUCCAGACGUGUAAUAUGCUGCAUUUUCAUUCCAGGUCAACAGAUACAGGAAUGGAGACACAAAAAAAUAAAUCUGAAAGCAGACAUAAUGACAAGAAGCCAUAUUUGGUUGUUGUGGUGUGAAAGGAACCCUGGGCUAAAAGCCAGGGAAUCUUCCACCACCACUUACUUAGCCAGGUGACCUCAGGGGAAGUGUUUUCUGUCUCUAAGCAAUUGUCCAUUCAUGUGUACAAGAUGGGUAAUACCAGCUCCAAAGCCUAUUUUCCCAGGGCUGUUAGGAGGAAUAAAUAUAAGAGCUGGGAUUCGAGGCAGGAAUACAAAUCAGGAAAAAACAAUAGAGCAGAAAAGAGAAGUUUGGCAUCUGACUCAAGGUUGCAGCAACGGCAUGAAAUCUGCUCGCUCUGACCCUGGAAAUGCCCAGCUGGAGAACUGGUGUGCAUUUGUGAUGUCUGGGUGGACCAGCUGGGUAACAUCACCAUGCCUGUGCAUAGAGAAGGAAUGAUUCUCCCUCUUCCCUUUCACUGUAUCCAGAGUCUGCUAAUGAGGUCCAGAGGACUGACUGCAGAGCCCAUUUUUCCUUUGUAGGAGGCACAUAUGGUACAAUUAUAAAUUACCCAUACCCAAGCCAAAUACACACACACACACACAGAUUAAAUGUAAGCAGUUAAUGAAACAAACAUAUGAAUUAUAGCAGACAUCAAAGUAUCUCUUUUUCAGGGUUACCAUUUUGGAUUACCAUCUAGCCCAUUAGAUGUUUGCUGAAUAAAUUCAGACCAGUGUUAACCAAUAAAAUACAUAUCUACAUGAAUUAGAUGGUGGUCCAAUAUAAUAUUUUCUAUUAAGUAGUGAAUUGUCUUCUUUUAGAUAUUUUGAAAUUAAUGUCCUCUUUAUCACCUGCUAAAUCUGUAUGUUUUUGUUUAAACACAAUGGAACAAUUCAACAAGGUAUUAUAAGAUUUCAUCUAGUGAGGAUAAAAGCUGUUUAGAAAGCAUGACUUAAAAUUUCUCAAAGCUGUUUACUGUCUUGCCUAAAUUAUGCAGACAGAGCUUAUAUAUUAGGGCCUUUGGAUCUUUAGAUUGGAAACAUUUUCAGAUUUAGAAAAGCUUCAUUGUUUAGUUUGAACUUUUCCAUUUAAAAUAAUCAGAGGUGAAUGGGAAACAUAAUCCUCUUACUAAUGUGUUUUUUUAUGAGUGAAUGCUGAGAAACUUAACAUAAAGAUGCAAUCUGAAAAAAAGAAAUAGAAAAGAACUUUCUCACUUUCACUUAAUUACUAAUAAAAAAUUAUAAAAUAUAAAGCCUAAUGUUUAGUGUCAUCUCUUAUUGGAAUAUGUCAGCUUCCCCAGAGACAAUGCAUUGCCACAAGUAGCUAUUUGAAACAAAUCUUUCUGUGAUAUCUGAAGACACUCUUCUGCAAGGCUCUCUCUUCAAGAGUUUCAAAGCAGCACUUUCCCAACCCUCUGUGCAUCCAGCUAAACAAAGCAAGCAAAGGACUAUUUCUCUUUGACUUAUAUUUUACUCGUUAGUCAUUUUGUAUCAUUAUAAUUCUGAAAUAAAAUAAGCCUUAAGAGAAAAAAAUCCACCACAUAUUUUAUAUUAAAUGUUCAUUCAUGAGCUAAUCUUAGCUAGCUGUUCCUUUGAAACCACAAUGCAGUCUUAAAAUCAUUUAAACUGUUACUAAUUUAGCAGUUGUACAGUGAUGGAUUUUUCAGGUUGCUUACAUAUAGA
ensembl:lncRNA